AUACGGAGGAUGCGAGCGUUAUCCGGAUUUAUUGGGUUUAAAGGGAGCGUAGAUGGGAGCUUAAGCCAGUUGUGAAAAGCGCGGGCCCAACCCGCGUCGUGCAAUUGGAACUGUGUUCCUUGAGUGGGUUCGGGGCAGGUGGAAUUCGUGGUGUAGCGGUGAAAUGCUUAGAUAUCACGAAGAACUCCGACAGCGUAGGCAUCCUGCCAGGCCCUUACUGACAUUGAAGCUCGAAGGUGCGGGUAUCAAACAGGAUUAGAUACCCUGGUAGUCCGCACGGUAAACGAUGGAUGCCCGCUGUCGGCGACAGACAGUCGGCGGCCAAGCGAAAGCGUUAAGCAUCCCACCUGGGGAGUACGCCGGCAACGGUGAAACUUAAAUGAAUUGACGGGG
rnacentral:rRNA from 1 species